CAAAGUUUGAAUGAAUAAAAUCCUUGCAUUUCACCAACUGUCCUACCUUUUUCCAUACACAUUGGAUGUGAAUAUUUAAAGAGCGGGGCGAGCGGCAGUCCUAGCGCGCGCAGAUAAUGUGCUCAUUAUGUCGGUGAGGCGGCGAAGCAUAAACGCUAUCAAUGGCAAUGCCAUCGUUUGCCUCUCACCCGUGAUAUACGACACGCUUAGAUGGCUGGCGUCGUGUGGAGAAGCCAACCGAGUUCAAAAAGUCAAGAGACGCGUCUCCUGAUGUAGCGGGACACAGACAGUUCGCCUGCGCGCCAAAAUGGAGAUGUUACAUCAUCUUAAUGGUCAAACAAUGGGGCGUUGCGAUGAAUUAUACAUGUCAUCUCAACCAAAGCCUAUUUCAUGAGGGCUGGGGUAAAGUGUAGCCCGUAGCCUAUAUCUUGAAAGAUCUUUGUCAUCUGUAUGGAUUUCUGGUCUGUGUAAUUUCAGAAUAUGGAAGGUUUGAACACGAAAGGUUGCUUAUAGGGAUCUUUUCCAGACACCAUGGCCUACAUUUUGGAGGUGGAGAAUCGUGUCUUAGGGAUGCUGUCUGUACCAGUGACUAAAAAUGGUGCAGGGAACAAAAACGAAAACUGAAAACAGAUAAAUAAAUAAAUAUAAAUUAAAUAAAAGUAUUUUAUUAUUUAUUUAUUUAUUUAUUUAUUUUACAGAACGUAACUGAAAACCAGGACAAAGUGAUUUUUCAAUUGUUCUGGAGUGAAAACAUUAUUUUUAAAUGCCAGUAACUGGUUAUAACCGGUUAAUAUAGUUCCAAUCAUUUUUUUAAUGAAGCCAAAGGCCAAUGUGUUUAUCACAGUAAAUUUCUGGAAAUGCACCAAUUCAUGUUGCCCAAAAAAAAAAAAAAAAAAAAAAAUUUAAAAAACAAAGUGCUAGUGGCUUAUUUUGGGCUUGUUUUUCCAGAACAUGCUGCUUGUUUCUCUUGCAAGAUCUGGCAACACUGCAACUGGUAUUUCACCCACCCCUUAGCAGAGUACUGCCAUUUUUAAAAGAACUUUAUUAACCGUUAUUUAUUUUUUUUCUAACCGGUAACCUUUUGGAAAGGAGUCUGUGGAACUUCUGAACCAGAAUGAAAAUAUACAGUUUUUUGCUCAGAACGAACCAAAAUGAAAAACAUUUCGUUUUUAGUCCCUGGUUUGCACAACUUGGGAUAAAGUGUUGAACCUGCUUAGUGAAUUCCCAAAUUUGUGAACACUAGAUGGCGCUAUCCUCCCAACCUCCGUCUAUUCCAUAGAGCAGCUUCAGAGGUAAACAUGUCAUACAUGCCUAUGAAUCCAGAGUUGGCACUGCGGACCACUCGCAUUCUCUGUUGAGCCCUACCCUUGCCCCCUGCCAUCUGUCCUAGUGUCCUAUACACACUGUUCGCUCUGCACACAGCCUCAGGGCAGGAGUGGGGGGUGCAGCGGCACAGCAGCCCCGACAUCUGCUGCUUCCAUGGGCUUUGUGGAUGUUGAGGCUCCUGGGCCUUGGGGAACGGCAGCAGAGGCCGAGCAGCCACACUGUCCUGAAGCAGGGAACUAAUGUCUCUCCGUCACAUACGUGUGGUGACUGCGAGCAUGAACCGGUGCCAGCGAUCACUGUUCAGGCUCCUCUGGGUGGAGGGGAAGUUUUUUUGCCAUUUGCCUUGGUUGCUGGCUGUAAGGUCAAUUUGACCUAAAUUAAUAUUUAAAUUUUAUGGAAUGUUAUGGGCAUGGCGUGACAGUUGGUGUACACAUGCACAUUGUCUGUGUUGAAGGACAUUGAACUGCAUCUUAUUAUAGUACUUGCAAGGCAAGUACUGUAUUAAAGUUAUUCUUAUUUCUGCUUCUUUUUUCUUCUAAACAAAUUCCAGUGACUAAUUCAGCCUGAACCCAUCAAUUGUAGCCCUCCAUUCCAUUAUUUUUUAUUUUUUAUUUUUUAUUUUUUUUGUAUACAGUCUUCUUAUUUUGUGUAUACUGUAUAUUGUAUAUUAUUAGGUGUAUAUUGUGUUGUGUAACAAGAUGUGUAAACUGUGUUAUGUGUAAAUCAGAUGUUAAUUGUAAUUGUCAUACUGCUAUGUUGCUUGGAACCGCACCCAAGACUUUCACCCACUGUUGCACUUGUGUAUAUGACAAUAAAUGGAUUUGAUUUGAUUUGAUUGGUUAUUUGCAUAAGGUUACUGACUGGUCUUUUUCCUUAGUUUUAUUUACAUUCUGAAUUGUGAUUUGGUUUCCUUUUUGUGUUUACACAGCCAAGUUGG